rnacentral:miRNA from 1 species
GGGUUUGUGUAUUGAACUGUGGCUCUCAAACUUUAGCAUCCAUCAGAAUCACCUGAAGUGCUUGCUCAUUGAAAGGCUGUUUCCUGGACACUACUCUCACAGUUUCUUUU